CCCGCGACUCGGCGAGAAGUCCAUUGAACCUUAUCAUUUAGAGGAAGGAGAAGUCGUAACAAGGUUUCCGUAGGUGAACCUGCGGUGCAAAAUGGGCGUCGUGAAUAUAUCGAGCGAUUCGAAAAACCUGUUAAAUGUGCGUACGGUCGCCCCGGUCGUGUCCUUGAAGCUCCUUUGAGGUGAAGGGGCACAGCGGGGGACGAUGAACAACAAUCCGGCGCAGCAACGCGCCAAGGGAAGAUUGAAAUGUGUGAGCCCCGUGUCGGGCUCGACGAUGUGGAGUGCUGAUGCACGCCAUGCGGAUGGGACACGACUCUCGACAAUGGAUAUCUUGGCUCUUGCAUCGAUGAAGAGCGCAGCGAAAUGCGAUACGUGGUGCGAAUUGCAGAAUCCCGCGAACCAUCGAGUCUUUGAACGCAAGUUGCGCCCGAGGCCAUCCGGCCAAGGGCACGUCCGCCUGGGUGUCAAGUGUUGCGUCGCUCCGAGCUAGUCGUCCCGCCGGUCGAAUCGUUAGCUAUGUGUAGGGUGGCCCGUCGUGUACGUUGAUGCGGCGGGUUGAAGAACGGGUUUUGUCUCAUUGGCCGCGAACAACAAUGGGUGGGUGCAGGCUCUGAGCGCAGCCUGUGUUGUCUCGUGCUGGCUUGAGAGAUGGAAUGUGAUCCCCGACCAUGUGUCGCUUGACAUGCGACAGCUUGGAAUGCGACCCCAGGAUGGGCGAGGCCACCC
rnacentral:rRNA from 1 species